rnacentral:rRNA from 1 species
GACGAACGCUGGCGGCGUGCUUAACACAUGCAAGUCGAACGGAAAGGCCCUGCUUUUGUGGGGUGCUCGAGUGGCGAACGGGUGAGUAACACGUGAGUAACCUGCCCUUGACUUUGGGAUAACUUCAGGAAACUGGGGCUAAUACCGGAUAGGAGCUCCUGCUGCAUGGUGGGGGUUGGAAAGUUUCGGCGGUUGGGGAUGGACUCGCGGCUUAUCAGCUUGUUGGUGGGGUAGUGGCUUACCAAGGCUUUGACGGGUAGCCGGCCUGAGAGGGUGACCGGCCACAUUGGGACUGAGAUACGGCCCAGACGCCUACGGGAGGCAGCAGUGGGGAAUAUGGCACAAUGGGCGGAAGCCUGAUGCAGCGACGCCGCGUGCGGGAUGACGGCCUUCGGGUGGUAAACCGCUUUCGCCUGUGACGAAGCGUGAGUGACGGUAAUGGGUAAAGAAGCACCGGCUAACUACGU